rnacentral:rRNA from 1 species
UACGUAGGGACCAAGCGUUGUUCGGAUUUACUGGGCGUAAAGGGCGCGUAGGCGGCUUGUCAAGUCACUUGUGAAAUCUCUGGGCUUAACCCAGAACGGCCAAGUGAAACUGACAUGCUAGAGUGCAGAAGGGGCAAUCGGAAUUCUCGGUGUAGCGGUGAAAUGCGUAGAUAUCGAGAGGAACACCAGAGGUGAAGACGGGUUGCUGGGCUGACACUGACGCUGAGGCGCGAAAGCCAGGGGAGCAAACGGG